UACGUAGGGCGCAAGCGUUGUCCGGAAUUAUUGGGCGUAAAGAGCUCGUAGGCGGUUUGUCGCGUCUGCUGUGAAAGCCCGGGGCUCAACCCCGGGUCUGCAGUGGGUACGGGCAGACUAGAGUGCAGUAGGGGAGACUGGAAUUCCUGGUGUAGCGGUGAAAUGCGCAGAUAUCAGGAGGAACACCGAUGGCGAAGGCGGCUCACUGGCUCGAUACUGACGCUGAGGAGCGAAAGCAUGGGGAGCGAACAGGAUUAGAUACCCGCGUAGUCC
rnacentral:rRNA from 1 species